CUGCCAGGCAGACUGUGCUUUGGCCUCAGAUGGCCGGCUGCCUGGCCUGGGCUUUUUCAGUCUGUAGGAGCAUUCUGCAAAGCAGAGCAGGCAGGACGUGGACGUUGGGAGGAAAAAAAGGAGAAAAGAAGCAGAGGAUGAGAAGAGAGCUGGCUACCUGGGCUGCUGCUGCGAUGGGACUGUGCUAGAGCUUUUCAGAAGGUUGGUUUCCCCACUGCUGUUCUGGUUCUGCUGCUCACGUAGUUCCUUUGGAGACUACAGUAACUGUGUAAAAUGGUGGUCUCUAAAAUAGCUGAUAAAAUAAAUUUUCUUA